UACAGAGGUCUCAAGCGUUGUUCGGAUUCAUUGGGCGUAAAGGGUGUGUAGGUGGCGCGCUAAGUCGGGUGUGAAAUUUCGGAGCUUAACUCCGAAACUGCAUUCGAUACUGGCGUGCUUGAGGACUGGAGAGGAGACUGGAAUUCAUGGUGUAGCAGUGAAAUGCGUAGAGAUCAUGAGGAAGACCAGUGGCGAAGGCGGGUCUCUGGACAGUUCCUGACACUGAGACACGAAGGCUAGGGGGAGCAAACGGGG
rnacentral:rRNA from 1 species